AGUAAAGGGGUUAAUUUUCUCUUUUGCAAAACCAGCAGCAUUUUAUAUAAAUUCGAAACAUUCUCCCCGUUCCUAGGGAUUGUGGAUUCAAAAUAUUAUCUCACAAAAACAAGGAAAAUGGCUUCGACGGUGGUUCUCGAUCAUGCGGCGGCGGAAAAGCGAGAAGAGGGUUAUUUGAUUCUCCCGGAUUCACCCGAUCGCAAAAAGCUUAAGAUGGACGGUGAUGCAGAAGAGCGAGAAGAGGAUUCUCCGAUCAUCCCGGAUUCCAGAAAUCCUGAGACCGGAGGUGAUACCGAUGAUGAGAUUAAGAUGGACGGUGAUGCAGAAGAUUAUACUUCGUAUGUAAUUGAUGAUGAUGAGAUCACGAUGGAUGAUCUGUUACCCAUGUACAGGACUGCAGAUAAUUUACAAGCCCUCAAAAAAUACUUUGAUCAGAUUAAAGAGAGCGGUGGUUUUGAUUUUGAUCCAUAUCACGGCUCGCCUGUCAUCGGAGGCAUUUCGCCUCUUGAUCUUGGGCAGGACACUAUCCAUGUUAGAGGCGUCAAGAAGGCUCUUGAUUUUGCUAUUCGUCGCGAGAAUGCCAAGAGGAAGGAUGGGGAUCAGCUGCAACUUGUGCGGUUAAUCAAGUCAAAUUACAUUUGUGGUGGUACGUUUUACAUAACAUUUGAAGCUAAAUCAGUUGAUAUUCAAGUUUAUCAGGCUAAGGUCGCUUACUGUGUUUACGGUGCAAUUGACGAACAAACCCAAGCCGAGGUUCUUCUAUUUAGGCGUAAACCCUAGAUAACUACAUAUUGCUGUGAUGAAUGAUUGGAUUUGGUUCAAGCUUUAGCAGCCCUUGCAAUCAUGGCUUUUCGUGCUACAUUCAUGUGUAAACAAUAUUCCGGAGCUAAAUGUUCGUCAUCUUUUUUACAUAAAUUCCGAUUGAUUAGGAAUUGCUUAUAAACUUUUAAGUGGUUGCCACUUGAGGAAUAGGAAUUUGUGCUUGGAAUAGGCACUUGUGUGAUGGAAAUGUCACUUUUAUGCUGUAUUAGUUCUUAGUGUUCACUGGUGAUUGAGUAGGGAUGAAAAUAGAGAAAGAGUUAAUGGAGGAAGAUUAUGCAGUAGGUUAACGUGUGAUGGCGAGCGGUACAUUAGGAUUCGGGUUUAUACAUAUAAGAAAGAUUUUCUAUAAAAUGCAUAUUUAUUUUUAUAUUUUAGUAUUCUGAUUGUAAUUGUUCAAUUUUGUUAGUUGGAACACACGCUCCUGUUUAAAAUUGAAAAUGAUCUAAAUUGCAAAA